rnacentral:misc_RNA from 1 species
GUGAAUAACGUGUUGGUCUUCGCUUCGGCAAGGCCCUCACACCCUCACAUCCAUAACACCUGUGAACUGUAAGAUGUGGUGAACUCGUUCGCCCAUCUGCCCUUUUUAUAAACAUCUUUAGUAACAAAAGUAGUCUUAUUAUAAUCUAAUA